UUUUAUGGAGAGUUUGAUCCUGGCUCAGGAUGAACGCUGGCGGCGUGCCUAAUACAUGCAAGUCGAGCGAACGGACGAGAAGCUUGCUUCUCUGAUGUUAGCGGCGGACGGGUGAGUAACACGUGGAUAACCUACCUAUAAGACUGGGAUAACUUCGGGAAACCGGAGCUAAUACCGGAUAAUAUUUUGAACCGCAUGGUUCAAAAG
rnacentral:rRNA from 1 species